rnacentral:rRNA from 1 species
CCUUUGCUGAGGAUACGGUUAACGGAGCGAAAGCGACGUUCAACCGCAAAACAAGCAGAGGGGGCUUAGUGGUGGGGUGACUGCGUACCUUUUGUAUAAUGGGUCAGCGACUUAUAUUCUGUAGCAAGGUUAACCGAAUAGGGGAGCCGGAGGGAAACCGAGUCUUAAUUGGGCGUUAAGUUGCAGGGUAUAGACCCGAAACCCGGUGAUCUAGCCAUGGGCAGGUUGAAGGUUGGGUAACACUAACUGGAGGACCGAACCGACUAAUGUUGAAAAAUUAGCGGAUGACCUGUGGCUGGGGGUGAAAGGCCAAUCAAACCGGGAGAUAGCUGGUUCUCCCCGAAAGCUAUUUAGGUAGCGCCUCGUGAAUUCAUCUCCGGGGGUAGAGCACUGUUUCGGCUAGGGGGCCAUCCCGGCUUACCAACCCGAUGCAAACUGCGAAUACCGGAGAAUGUUAUCACGGGAGACACACGGCGGGUGCUAACGUCCGUCGUGAAGAGGGAAACAACCCAGACCGCCAGCUAAGGUCCCAAAGUCAUGGUUAAGUGGGAAACGAUGUGGGAAGGCCCAGACAGCCAGGAUGUUGGCUUAGAAGCAGCCAUCAUUUAAAGAAAGCGUAAUAGCUCACUGGUCGAGUCGGCCUGCGCGGAAGAUGUAACGGGGCUAAACCAUGCACCGAAGCUGCGGCAGCGAACGUAUCACCCAAGACAACUUUACGGAGUUGACGAUUGACGGAGCGAAGCGACGUCAAAGCGUUCAUUAAAGUCGAGUUGGCUUAGGGAUACGUUCGUUGGGUAGGGGAGCGUUCUGUAAGCCUGUGAAGGUGUGUCGUGAGGCAUGCUGGAGGUAUCAGAAGUGCGAAUGCUGACAUAAGUAACGAUAAAGCGGGUGAAAAGCCCGCUCGCCGGAAGACCAAGGGUUCCUGUCCAACGUUAAUCGGGGCAGGGUGAGUCGACCCCUAAGGCGAGGCCGAAAGGCGUAGUCGAUGGGAAACGGGUUAAUAUUCCCGUACUUGGUGUUACUGCGAAGGGGGGACGGAGAAGGCUAUGUUGGCCGGGCGACGGUUGUCCCGGUUUAAGCGUGUAGGUGUGUGUUCCAGGUAAAUCCGGUUCACUUUAACACUGAGGCGUGACGACGAGGCACUACGGUGCUGAAGCAACAAAUGCCCUGCUUCCAGGAAAAGCCUCUAAGCAUCAGGUAACACGAAAUCGUACCCCAAACCGACACAGGUGGUCAGGUAGAGAAUACCAAGGCGCUUGAGAGAACUCGGGUGAAGGAACUAGGCAAAAUGGUGCCGUAACUUCGGGAGAAGGCACGCUGACACGUAGGUGAAGUGAUUUUCUCAUGGAGCUGAAGUCAGUCGAAGAUACCAGCUGGCUGCAACUGUUUAUUAAAAACACAGCACUGUGCAAACACGAAAGUGGACGUAUACGGUGUGACGCCUGCCCGGUGCCGGAAGGUUAAUUGAUGGGGUCAGCGUAAGCGAAGCUCCUGAUCGAAGCCCCGGUAAACGGCGGCCGUAACUAUAACGGUCCUAAGGUAGCGAAAUUCCUUGUCGGGUAAGUUCCGACCUGCACGAAUGGCGUAAUGAUGGCCAGGCUGUCUCCACCCGAGACUCAGUGAAAUUGAACUCGCUGUGAAGAUGCAGUGUACCCGCGGCAAGACGGAAAGACCCCGUGAACCUUUACUAUAGCUUGACACUGAACAUUGAGCCUUGAUGUGUAGGAUAGGUGGGAGGCUUUGAAGUGUGGACGCCAGUCUGCAUGGAGCCGACCUUGAAAUACCACCCUUUAAUGUUUGAUGUUCUAACGUGGACCCGUAAUCCGGGUUGCGGACAGUGUCUGGUGGGUAGUUUGACUGGGGCGGUCUCCUCCUAAAGAGUAACGGAGGAGCACGAAGGUUGGCUAAUCCUGGUCGGACAUCAGGAGGUUAGUGCAAUGGCAUAAGCCAGCUUGACUGCGAGCGUGACGGCGCGAGCAGGUGCGAAAGCAGGUCAUAGUGAUCCGGUGGUUCUGAAUGGAAGGGCCAUCGCUCAACGGAUAAAAGGUACUCCGGGGAUAACAGGCUGAUACCGCCCAAGAGUUCAUAUCGACGGCGGUGUUUGGCACCUCGAUGUCGGCUCAUCACAUCCUGGGGCUGAAGUAGGUCCCAAGGGUAUGGCUGUUCGCCAUUUAAAGUGGUACGCGAGCUGGGUUUAGAACGUCGUGAGACAGUUCGGUCCCUAUCUGCCGUGGGCGCUGGAGAACUGAGGGGGGCUGCUCCUAGUACGAGAGGACCGGAGUGGACGCAUCACUGGUGUUCGGGUUGUCAUGCCAAUGGCACUGCCCGGUAGCUAAAUGCGGAAGAGAUAAGUGCUGAAAGCAUCUAAGCACGAAACUUGCCCCGAGAUGAGUUCUCCCUGAGACUUAGAGUCUCCUGAAGGAACGUUGAAGACGACGACGUUGAUAGGCCGGGUGUGUAAGCGCAGCGAUGCGUUGAGCUAACCGGUACUAAUGAACCGUGAGGCUUAACCUUACA